CAUGAGAGGUCCAGCCUGCCCAGUGACAAAGUUCAACGGCCGCGGUACCCUAACCGUGCAAAGGUAGCAUAAUCACUUGUUCUUUAAAUAAGGACUCGUAUCAACGGCACCACGAGGGUCACACUGUCUCCUUUUUCCAAUCAGUGAAACUGAUCUCCCCGUGAAGAAGCGGGGAUACAACCAUAAGACGAGAAGACCCCAUGGAGCUUUAAACUAAACAGCAACUCAAUUAUAUAUCCCCCCCCCACCCACAGAGACAUGCCUGCUAGUUUUAGGUUGGGGCGACCGCGGAGCACAAAACAACCUCCAUGACGAAAAGAACUAAAUCUUAACCCCAGAGCCACCGCUCUAAGAAUCAGCACACUAACGAACAAUGACCCGACUAUCGAUCAACGAACCAAGUUACCCUGGGGAUAACAGCGCAAUCUACUCCAAGAGUCCCUAUCGACAAGUAGGCUUACGACCUCGAUGUUGGAUNCAGGGUACCCAAGUGGUGCAGCCGCUACUAACGG
rnacentral:rRNA from 1 species